rnacentral:rRNA from 1 species
UGGGGAAUAUUGCACAAUGGGCGCAAGCCUGAUGCAGCAACGCCGCGUGAACGAUGAAGGUCUUCGGAUCGUAAAGUUCUGUUGCAGGGGAAGAUAAUGACGGUACCCUGUGAGGAAGCCCCGGCUAACUACGUGCCAGCAGCCGCGGUAAUACGUAGGGGGCAAGCGUUGUCCGGAAUUAUUGGGCGUAAAGCGCGCGCAGGUGGUUUAGAAAGUCUGAUGUGAAAGCACACGGCUCAACCGUGGAGGGUCAUUGGAAACUAAUAAACUGGAGUGCAGGAGAGAAAAGUGGAAUUCCUAGUGUAGCGGUGAAAUGCGUAGAGAUUAGGAGGAACACCGGUGGCGAAAGCGGCUUUUUGGCGUGCAACUGACACUGAGGCGCGACAGCGUGGGGAGCAAACAGG